UACAGAGGUCCCAAGCGUUGUUCGGAUUCAUUGGGCGUAAAGCGUCCGCAGGUGGCUAUGUAAGUCUGCUGUUAAAGAGUGAGGCUCAACCUCAUAAGAGCAGUGGAAACUACAUGGCUAGAGUGCGUUCGGGGCAGAGGGAAUUCCUGGUGUAACGGUGAAAUGCGUAGAGAUCAGGAAGAACACCGGUGGCGAAAGCGCUCUGCUAGGCCGCAACUGACACUGAGGGACGAAAGCUAGGGGAGCGAAUGGG
rnacentral:rRNA from 1 species